CCUACGGGAGGCAGCAGUGAGGAAUAUUGGUCAAUGGACGAGAGUCUGAACCAGCCAAGUAGCGUGAAGGAUGACUGCCCUAUGGGUUGUAAACUUCUUUUAUAUGGGAAUAAAACGUUCCACGUGUGGGAUUUUGUAUGUACCAUAUGAAUAAGGAUCGGCUAACUCCGUGCCAGCAGCCGCGGUACUACGGAGGAUCCGAGCGUUAUCCGGAUUUAUUGGGUUUAAAGGGAGCGUAGGUGGAUUGUUAAGUCAGUUGUGAAAGUUUGCGGCUCAACCGUAAAAUUGCAGUUGAAACUGGCAGUCUUGAGUACAGUAGAGGUGGGCGGAAUUCGUGGUGUAGCGGUGAAAUGCUUAGAUAUCACGAAGAACUACGAUUGCGAAGGCAGUUCACUGGACUGCAACUGACACUGAGGCUCGAAAGUGUGGGUAUCAAACAGGAUUAGAUACCCUUGUAGUC
rnacentral:rRNA from 1 species